UUCUCUGCAUCUCAGAUUCCUCGGUAACUUCAUGUCAUGGAAUUCUAACAAGUUUUGGCUGAUUGAUAUAGCAAAACACAAAGACAGGCUUGAAAAAAGACAGAUGGGGCAAAUGUGGAAGGUGGCGGCCACUUUAAAUGACAGCUCCGCAACGGACAAAAACGGGCUCUCCUCAUUAUGUUCAUGGAACACCAAAUAUGAAGAAAUCAAGCUGCUUUAGGACUGAGACCCUUAUGGCAGCUCAUAUUGCAUUGGGAAAAAAUGUUAACAUUAAUAAGUUACAUAAGAAAAGUGUCCAAGAUCAACACAUUCAAGGCCAUUAUAAAUACUAGCAUAUACAUUCAGAAAUGCAAUUACACCAUCAGCAUGAACACGCAGGAAAAGAAAAUUCCAAUUUGCAUGGCUGUGAGGUUUCUUCUGGUUGCCAGCAAUUUCCAGAGUGUACUGAAAUUUUCAAAUUAACUGAGGACAUUUUAGUCAAUUUUAUCUCUCAAUGCUUUUGUGUCACUUUUUCUUCAAGGUCUGUGCAUUUUGCUGAUUGAAAUGCUCAAACAUUUAUUCAUUUAUUCAUCUCAAAGGCACAGAUCAUCAUUAUGAC
rnacentral:lncRNA from 1 species